GCGCCCGUGGCGGAAUUGGUAGACGCAGGAGACUUAAAAUCUCCCGACCGUAUGGUCGUGCCAGUUCGAGUCUGGCCGGGCGCACCA
rnacentral:tRNA from 1 species